rnacentral:rRNA from 1 species
GAUGAACGCUGGCGGCGUGCUUAACACAUGCAAGUCGAACGAAGCAUUUGCGACAGAUUUUUUCGGAAUGAAGUUGCUUAUGACUGAGUGGCGGACGGGUGAGUAACGAGUGGGUAACCUGCCUUGUACUGGGGGAUAGCAGCUGGAAACGGCUGGUAAUACCGCAUAAGCGCACAAUGUUGCAUGAAAUGGUGUGAAAAACUCCGGUGGUAUAAGAUGGACCCGCGUCUGAUUAGCUAGUUGGUGAGAUAACAGCCCACCAAGGCGACGAUCAGUAGCCGACCUGAGAGGGUGACCGGCCACAUUGGGACUGAGACACGGCCCAGACUCCUACGGGAGGCAGCAGUGGGGAAUAUUGCACAAUGGAGGAAACUCUGAUGCAGCGACGCCGCGUGAGUGAAGAAGUAAUUCGUUAUGUAAAGCUCUAUCAGCAGGGAAGAUAGUGACGGUACCUGACUAAGAAGCUCCGGCUAAAUACGUG